rnacentral:lncRNA from 1 species
GCGGGUGGAUGAAGAUCCUGGGGACCUUGGUCACGCCAGAGUCCACAAGGCCUUUGACUCCGGCCUUGGUCUCAUCGAAUUCCUGCAAUUCUUUCGCUCUGUCAUAAUCCCGGUCGCAACAAGUGAUGAAUUGUGCAUGACUGGACAAGGUUGGCAUCGUCUUGUAGUGACAAAGGUUGAAAUCUUGAUGAAUCUGAGCCCUGAUCAGGGGGAGGCUGUUACCAUGAGAGUGAUAUGAAGAUGAUUAGCUAGAGAGGCCAUUGCACAAAUAUGGUCAAGUCAACAGCCAAUGGCCAAGGGAACUAACUGUCAAAGAUUCCCCAGUGACGAGGCUGGCGGUAGUUGAAGAGUCCCUGUCGUGAUGUCAAAGAUGGUAACAAGUGGGCCCUUAAAAGAAAGACAGGUCCAGGAGACCCAAUUCUCUUCUCUUACGAGUUGCGCCCACCGAUUUGAAGCCAACAAUUCAGCAUUGUUUACAAUUGUUGCAGCUAGUUUAAGAGGAAAAAAAUUGGAAAAACUGAAAUGAGAAACGAACCAGGCGAGAGGGAAAGGGGUAUGGUUCAAGCUCGUCGGGACAUUUAAAUGCAUCGGAUUAAGGUUGUUUCGAAGCGCCCAGAUAGAAAUCGAAGCUUUAAUUAUCUAAAUGAAAAAAAAAAAUGCUUGGUUAAGCUGUAAUUUCCACUCAGUUGAAAUGUUAGGUCGCUGGAUUGAUUCUAGAGGUCGUUGUGGUAUGAAACUAUGUUGUAAAGAAACUUUAGGACGUCUUGGAAGUGUAAGAUUUUAUAUAAGUCAAUUCAAGAUUAUGGUUUGAUCGAGGUGACAUUUUGAGGUUUGUUAUACUAGAACCAUGUUCAAAUUAUUGUGCUUAACACCACUUUUCCCUAGUCCUUGGCCAUAUAACUCGCCCCUUUUAAUUAUGUUAAGUUAGUUUUUCAAUGGCUCUAGACCCACUUGAAAUAGGCAUUGAUUGAAUUCAAAUGAACCAUUUUAAAUUUGACGCACGAGUUACCGCAGUACAUUAGACAUCAAUAGCUAUUCUGCUUUAGUCGAGCUUUUGUUGGCACAUUGAAAUAGUUCUUUUAGUAGAUAAGCUUACUUUACUUUUGUCGAAUCUUAAUUAAGGUAGCUAUCUACUUAAUUUUGAUAUCCAUUUGUCACUUAAAGGAUACGAAUUCAAAUUUUUCCACUUGAGGUAGCUUUUGUUGUUGUGUUUCGCAUUUUCAAGUGAACAUGCUCAUCCCUUCUCUGAUUUGCAAACUAAUGUCUUAAAAAUGAUAGAAAUUAGAUAUUUUGCAAGUUAUGAAAGAGGUAUCAUCUGUUAUCCUUUUGGUUAUUGGAAAUGGCAUAGUAAGGUAUCUCUUGAAAUAAUUUGGGGGUAGAUUAUUUGUGAAAUGGUCUUGGAAUACUAUAUGAAAUGUAUUCUUCUUAAUGGAAGAAAAUGUGAAAGGUUAUAUACAUACAGCUAUAUAUUGAUUUGUGAACUUGAUUUAUAGAAAUGAAAUUUGAAAUAAUUUUAUGAUUGGUUGGAAGAGUGUGAUAAUGGUUUCAUGCCCUUGGCCCUAAAACAAUUGAAAGGAGUUUUGAGUGUGUAUAAUGUUCUCUGGGCAUCUUAUUUGGGCUAAACCAUCGACUGAUAUAGGUGAAGGCAUAUACCAAAGGGCAUCUUGGUAGACCUUGUCCCAGGGCAUUAAGUGUAGUUAUAGUUUGAUAUUGAGCACAUGAUUGACCAAUGAACUAGAUCAUUGACAUUUGUUAUGAUAUUAUUGAUUGAAUGAGUAUAUAUUAUAUGUAUAAAGUUGUAUUAAAUUGGUAUAACUAAUCUUUAAUGUAUUUUACAUGCUGAAUUUGGAUAAAUGUGUUUCUGGUAUUGUUUAAAUGUGCAUAACUGAUACUCAAUCUACUUAAAAGAGAUUUAUACUACUCAAUAAGCGGUAAUUUGCUCAGAUCAUUCAUCUUAGUUCUUUUUUAGGUUUUACAACUAGUAGCAAAUAGAAAGAGAGUGGAAUCAGUGAGGGAAUUUGGGAGUUCAAGUUUGGUAUGACUUAAGAUAGAAUGCUAUUUGUCAAGUUUAGUGUAGAAGUCACUAGAGAUGCACUUAUUCUUUUUUGUAGACUUUAGAACUAUGAUCAUGUAUCUAACUUGAUAUUGUAUCAUAUGUACAUAUAUAUAUAUAUAUAUAUAUAUAUAUAUAUAUAUAUAUUAUUUUCAUAAUAGAUUUGAUUUUGUAUAUGAGGCUCCAUGAUUUUCUCUAUACAUGAAGAUUUAGGGUGUGACCAAUAAGGGAUGGUGUGAGCGACCAAAUUGCCCAAACACUAAAAGGAGAGCUCUCAAGUCAAAUGAAACAUUAAUUUUGGGCAUUUUAUCACAAUAUUAGUUUCAUGGUAUAUGGAGAUCGACCUUCAAGGUUGGCAUGGCAAGUAAUGUGUCAUGUCACAAGCGGACUUUGUAUAAGUGAAUCAUAUCCGAGCCGAACUUGACAAGUUCUUUCGAGUAAAACUUAAAUUUGUUACAGCAAACUCCAAAGCCAACAUGAUUUGAUAAGUUUUAACAACAAGUAGAAGAACAAACAGGGCUUGGGGUGUCUCUAAAAGAAAAUGGCAUUCAAAAAUCAAUAUAGUAAAUCCCUGAAAGCUUAUUCAAUUUUGAUUCCAAUUUUCUUCCAGAUAUUUUCACAUUUUUACAUACUAAACUAAUUAUAAACUAGAACUAGCACUAAAAUCUAGUAAAACUACUCAAAAUCUAAUUUUUAAAUUUUUGCCUAAAUUUCUAAAUUCUUUAUUUUUUUAUUAUUUUUGCUCCAAAUCAUGGAGACUCGUAUCAAGUCUGGAGACUGGAAUUUAUGUUAAUUGUGUAAAGACGAGCAUUAAGUUAUAUUGAGUUUGUAUUUUUAAAAUGAACUUAAUUCUCUUUUUGCUCCGGGAACAAAAAAGUAAGCUUUUUCUAUUUCUCUUUUUGGUUCCAAAACUAUUUGCUAGCCACUAAUCCGUCCGAGAAAUAGAAAGCUUAGCUGAUAUUGCCAAAUGGAUCUAUUUUCUAUUUUCUCUGGUGAGAAACAAAAAGAACAGAAAAAUGGAGGAACAGAAAUGUUAAUAAACAAGACCUCAUAUUCUGCAGAAACAAGGAGAGCUAGUAGGCGCUGGGUUGCCAUCCAAUAUAUGGUCAGAUCGAAAGGGACUCGUAUCGUCUCAUGGUGAUCAAGUGCCUGGAUUAGAGUUUCUAGUUUAAUGAAACAUCCAAUCCAAUACUGAAGAACAUGGCCCCGGCCCACAAAAUAAACUAAGGGCAAUGCUGUUUUCGAGGAUUGACUAUAUAUCAGCAAUGAAAAACAAAUCGCUUUUAUUAACUAGCUACUAUCGUUCGAUCUUUCACAUUUAAAAUACCAGGGCGACAAGGCUAGUGUCAGGCGUUGAAACUCAGCGAUUUUCACCUACACAAUUGCAGAGCGUCGCGAGAAAUAUCGAACAUCUAAAAUCGAAAUGUACCUACUCCCGAAGAGAAUUUUUCGCAAGGCACUUGUACAAGCACGAACUAGAGCAAUACGUCCGCAACAGGCUUGAACAUACGCAAGAAAGCACAGCCCUACGGCAAAGGACCAAAACAAAAAAAAAAAUGUCGAAGCCGGUAGGUCACUACAUCGGCCACAUUUGGCUUCUUCAGCCCAGCUUUCACCAUCAACCGUCGAAACAGCUCUUGGAACACGUAUCAAAUAAGGCCUGUCAUUCUGAGACAGCCGCUGCCCGUUACGUAGCUCGUGAAUCACUGACUCCACGGAUGGCCUAUCAUAGAGAUACUCGUUGGUGCAAGAGGCAAUUCUUGCGAGUUUAGCCACCUCGUACUCGAAGAACCUUUUUUUCGUGGAUAUAUGCAUCGAUGAAAUCCUGAAAUCUGCAUGAUGUAGUAGCCAGACGCCUGGAGUGAUCUACAUUCUGCGUCCCCCACAGCAUUGGGAAAACAAUCACUCCAACCGCAUAGACUUCACUCUUAUCCAUGAACAGGCCCCGCAGACGUUUACUCUGGCUUUAGGUUGCCCACGGCAGCGGUAGCUUUGAGCAAUGAGAACACAACGUCUGCGUGUGAGGGGCCUGUGGAGACCAGAGUCCUAGAGCAACGGGUAAUAUUAGUUUGGUAAGAUCAUUCGAGAUCAAAAGCCGCAACUUGCAAGCAGAAGACGAUGAAGAUCAGUUGAUCCCCAACUCAAAGAAAGAUAAACAAAUAAAUUUGAUGUCACCUUAUGCAAUACGAACGCCACACUCACUACUCUGUAUUAUUACAUGACAGGGCAGUGACGUGAGUGAUGAUGUUACCAAUGCUCAGAUGUUUCGGCUUUUCUUGCCUCAAUCUGUUUUGCUGCUACAUGCCAUUGCAUUGAGGGCGGAUUCUGCGAGAUGUGCAUUUGGUCCUCGGUUCCUUCUGCUACGUGUGCCAUAUGCUAGGAGAAGGAUUUGGGGAUGAAAUCUGUGUGUGGUAUGAAGGACGAUACUUCGCAUUUUGUAUGCAAACAGAAAAUCAUGGAUUCAUGAAGGAAAAGGCGAAUGGUGAAGGUAUGUCCAAAACUAUUUUCCAAUGAAUGGUGGUAGUACUUAAAGAAAAAGCGCACAUUCGGUUCAUCAAUUUGCACUCUUUUUCCAAUGUCAAUGUCAAAUUGUCAUGCAAUCAAAUUUUUGGACUUGUAGAAUUUGUCUAAUCUAGGCAAUUGCUCUGACUCGGACAAGUUGAAGCCAACAUGCUUAUUGAUGCUAGAAAAAAAUAUGAUGUAAAUUGUUGACGAUCAAUUUCUACUGAUCAACUUGCACAACGAUUAAGCAAAUGUUCAGCACCUUUUCAUAAGGUUCCAUCACUUAUUCCAAGAUCAAAAUUUUGGCUGAAAUUGAUUGACACGCUAGUUUCCAUUUCCUGGAGCUAGUAACAAAAAGAUUUGACUGAAGAAAGUUUUUUUCAAUAUUGUAGAUUCAUAACGACCAAUCUUCCUUUGCAUCUAAAACUCGAUGCAUUUGAAGAACGUAGCCACAUUCCACUAUGCAUCAGAAGAAUCAACUUUGGCAUUGAUUUCUUUUAGAUGAGGAAGAUUUUAUUGCACAGAUCGAAAAAGGAAGUCACAAAGUCCUGCCACAAACUCAGAUACAUGAUAUAGCCGGUCAAGACACACUCACUCAGGCUUUGCCACAACUCUGCUCUAUUUGGAGUUACUUAUCCUGAAGUGAGGAAGUGCUGAAUUGCCACUCAAGCCAUGGGAAGUAUAAUGGGUGACGUAUUCCGAAAGAGAGGUUUCUUUGUAUAUGGGUGGAUUGUUUUCAGAGAGAAGCUCCUUUAUUGGCCCAAAGGGUUUGGUUUUUUGCAUCCGGCUCCAGGUGAAAAAGCAUGCGACUGAAACCCUCGGUCCGUCCCGCCCAGCGAGUACUCGGUGCUGCACGCUUUUGAACUUGUCAUUGGAAACAAGCUGCAACCAUCAUGUUAGGCCAGAAAAGGAGUUAUGUCUUCUAAAGACGUAGUAAAGAUGACCGCCAAGAGCUAGGCAUAGAAUGCAGUGUGUUUUCAUGCCGCAACAUUGCUCUGUUAUUUCACUUAUGAUUCUUGUCAAGUACUCAGGGUAUCGUGGUAAGUUCAUUCUACAUUCGAUUGGUCGCUUAGAAAAUAUUAUCUGGACUCACUGUGUCGUUGAUGUAAUGAAGGGCGUUCAAAAUUGACUCCAGAGAGACAUAUCUGGAGUCAAUUUCAUAUUUGCUAUGUAGGCCAGAAAACAUAAGGUCAGAAAGAAGGUGGACCUUUCUUUACCUGCAUGAAGUCUCCGAUGUUGGCUAGAAGUGCUCCCUUCACGGGAACCACAUCAACCCAGUGGUUUUCUUGGAGGACUUGGAGGCCACCAUGGUGGUCUUGAAGGAGAAGAGUCAGAAACGAUAAGUCCGAGUGAUUAAGCGUGCCGAGAGUCAAUUCCGGUUCAGGACAAGCUGGGUAGUAAUGGCCCAUCAGUGUCUCCGAUUUCAUACACUCAGUGCCACUGAGAUAAUCAGAACCAAGGCCCAAUGCCUCUGAUAAUAGUUCGGCUAAAGAUGUCUUCAGCUCCGCGAUAUGUUUCUCGAACUUGGAAACUGCCUCCCUGCAAACGAGUAAAUGAAAUCACCGUGUGCGAGUUUCUAGUGUCAGGGUUUAUAGCAUUAUAUGCAUUCUUUUCUUUUGAAAAAAAAAAUGCAUGUUGGACUUGGGGAACAACUUUUGCACUCCCUAAAACGAAGGUUAUUAACGAGUUUUCCACAACCAAGCUUUGAUCUGUAUGGAAAUGCAUCAUACACUGAAUGAUCUAAUUUACCUGGUUUCAGAUUUCUGAAAAUACAGAGUAUGUUAUUGGACCCCAACCUGUCCUGAGUAAAAGAAAUGCCCAAAAUUGUUCUCAUUUCUCACGUAGCAACUUUAAUUAUUAAACUUUCAUAAGUCAUAUAUGUACCUGCAAAUAGGAGGAACAGCCUCUAGGUCUAGGGCACCAUCCUGGAAAUCAAAUAUGACACUAUCUCUCCAAGUUGCUGCUUUUGACAGGAACAAGUCUCCAUUGCAAUAGUACCUCACUCUCUUCGUCCCAUCUCUGGAGUACAGCUCUUUCUUCGCUUCCACUUGUUGCUCAUGGAACUUCUUCACACCCUCCAACAUGCUGUCCAUCACAUCGAGCGGAACCCCGUGAUUGAUCAUCUGAAAGAACCCCCAUGUCUCCGAUGCUUCGCAAAUACCAUCAAUGACAUCUUGCCGCCGAAAAUCCCGACAGCCUCUUAGAUCGAUGAUCGGGACCUGGAGGCCAGUCCCAUUCGAGUUGGAGGACAAACCACGCAAGUUCUCGGGCGGGUGGAUGAAGAUCCUGGGGACCUUGGUCACGCCAGAGUCCACAAGGCCUUUGACUCCGGCCUUGGUCUCAUCGAAUUCCUGCAAUUCUUUCGCUCUGUCAUAAUCCCGGUCGCAACAAGUGAUGAAUUGUGCAUGACUGGACAAGGUUGGCAUCGUCUUGUAGUGACAAAGGUUGAAAUCUUGAUGAAUCUGAGCCCUGAUCAGGGGGAGGCUGUUACCAUGAGAAUGAUAUGAAGAUGAUUAGCUAGAGAGGCCAUUGCACAAAUAUGGUCAAGUCAACGGCCAAUGGCCAAG